rnacentral:rRNA from 1 species
GAUGAACGCUGGCGACGUGGAUAAGGCAUGCAAGUCGAACGGAUACUAUAGCAAUAUAGUAUUAGUGGCGAACGAGGUAGUAAUAGGUAGGUACGCACCCUGAAGUCGAGAAUAACUGAUCGAAAGAUCAGCUAAUACUCGAUAGUCUCUUCGGAGUAAAGUUUUAACGCUUCAGGAGCGGCCUGCUCGGUAUCAGCUAGUUGGUAGUGUAAAAGACUACCAAGGCAUGACGCCUAGGGGAGCUGAGAGGCUG